CAAUAGCGUAUAUUUAAGUUGUUGCAGUUAAAAGCUCGUAGUUGGAUUUCGGUUGAGAACGGCCGGUCCGCCGUUUGGUGUGCACUGGCUGGUUUCAACUUCCUGUAGAGGACGCGCUCUGGCUUCACGGCUGGACGCGGAGUCUACGUGGUUACUUUGAAAAAAUUAGAGUGUUCAAAGCGGGCUUACGCUUGAAUAUUUCAGCAUGGAAUAACACUAUAGGACUCCUGUCCUAUUUCGUUGGUCUCGGGACGGGAGUAAUGAUUAAGAGGAACAGUUGGGGGCAUUCGUAUUUCAUUGUCAGAGGUGAAAUUCUUGGAUUUAUGAAAGACGAACUUCUGCGAAAGCAUUUGCCAAGGAUGUUUUCAUUAA
rnacentral:rRNA from 1 species